rnacentral:tRNA from 1 species
GAGAACGUAGCUCAACGGCAGAGCAGCUUAAAAUGCCGUCCCCAUCUUUGCCCUGUGGGGGCCGUAGGUGGAUGGUUACCUUGUACGGAGCGGGUUGCAGGUUCGAUUCCUGCCGUUCUCA